GCCGAAAAAAUUUAAAAAAAAAAAAGGGAACAAGAAAAAAGAGAAAAGAACGGAAAUACGCGACUAAUUUUUUUUUUUCGAAUGUUUCUUUUGUGUUUUGUUAGUCUCUCCUUCUAUUUUUGUUGUUGUUGUUGUUGUUGUUGUCUUUUUUGCGACACACGCAAAGAACGGCUUGAGACGUUUUCUGAACCAAAAAAAGAAAGAAGAAGA
rnacentral:ribozyme from 1 species